rnacentral:rRNA from 1 species
UUAAGGGCGCACGGUGGAUGCCUUGGCACUAGAAGCCGAUGAAGGACGUUACUAACGACGAUAUGCUUUGGGGAGCUGUAAGUAAGCUUUGAUCCAGAGAUUUCCGAAUGGGGGAAACCCAGCAUGAGUUAUGUCAUGUUAUCGAUAUGUGAAUACAUAGCAUAUCAGAAGGCACACCCGGAGAACUGAAACAUCUUAGUACCCGGAGGAAGAGAAAGAAAAUUCGAUUCCCUUAGUAGCGGCGAGCGAAACGGGAAGAGCCCAAACCAACAAGCUUGCUUGUUGGGGUUGUAGGACACUCUAUACGGAGUUACAAAGGACGACAUUAGACGAAUCAUCUGGAAAGAUGAAUCAAAGAAGGUAAUAAUCCUGUAGUCGAAAAUGUUGUCUCUCUUGAGUGGAUCCUGAGUACGACGGAGCACGUGAAAUUCCGUCGGAAUCUGGGAGGACCAUCUCCUAAGGCUAAAUACUCUCUAGUGACCGAUAGUGAACCAGUACCGUGAGGGAAAGGUGAAAAGCACCCCGGAAGGGGAGUGAAAUAGAACCUGAAACCGUGUGCUUACAAGUAGUCAGAGCCCGUUAAUGGGUGAUGGCGUGCCUUUUGUAGAAUGAACCGGCGAGUUACGAUUUGAUGCAAGGUUAAGCAGUAAAUGUGGAGCCGUAGCGAAAGCGAGUCUGAAUAGGGCGUUUAGUAUUUGGUCGUAGACCCGAAACCAGGUGAUCUACCCUUGGUCAGGUUGAAGUUCAGGUAACACUGAAUGGAGGACCGAACCGACUUACGUUGAAAAGUGAGCGGAUGAACUGAGGGUAGCGGAGAAAUUCCAAUCGAACCUGGAGAUAGCUGGUUCUCUCCGAAAUAGCUUUAGGGCUAGCCUCAAGUGAUGAUUAUUGGAGGUAGAGCACUGUUUGGACGAGGGGCCCCUCUCGGGUUACCGAAUUCAGACAAACUCCGAAUGCCAAUUAAUUUAACUUGGGAGUCAGAACAUGGGUGAUAAGGUCCGUGUUCGAAAGGGAAACAGCCCAGACCACCAGCUAAGGUCCCAAAAUAUAUGUUAAGUGGAAAAGGAUGUGGCGUUGCCCAGACAACUAGGAUGUUGGCUUAGAAGCAGCCAUCAUUUAAAGAGUGCGUAAUAGCUCACUAGUCGAGUGACACUGCGCCGAAAAUGUACCGGGGCUAAACAUAUUACCGAAGCUGUGGAUUGUCCUUUGGACAAUGGUAGGAGAGCGUUCUAAGGGCGUUGAAGCAUGAUCGUAAGGACAUGUGGAGCGCUUAGAAGUGAGAAUGCCGGUGUGAGUAGCGAAAGACGGGUGAGAAUCCCGUCCACCGAUUGACUAAGGUUUCCAGAGGAAGGCUCGUCCGCUCUGGGUUAGUCGGGUCCUAAGCUGAGGCCGACAGGCGUAGGCGAUGGAUAACAGGUUGAUAUUCCUGUACCACCUAUAAUCGUUUUAAUCGAUGGGGGGACGCAGUAGGAUAGGCGAAGCGUGCGAUUGGAUUGCACGUCUAAGCAGUAAGGCUGAGUAUUAGGCAAAUCCGGUACUCGUUAAGGCUGAGCUGUGAUGGGGAGAAGACAUUGUGUCUUCGAGUCGUUGAUUUCACACUGCCGAGAAAAGCCUCUAGAUAGAAAAUAGGUGCCCGUACCGCAAACCGACACAGGUAGUCAAGAUGAGAAUUCUAAGGUGAGCGAGCGAACUCUCGUUAAGGAACUCGGCAAAAUGACCCCGUAACUUCGGGAGAAGGGGUGCUCUUUAGGGUUAACGCCCAGAAGAGCCGCAGUGAAUAGGCCCAAGCGACUGUUUAUCAAAAACACAGGUCUCUGCUAAACCGUAAGGUGAUGUAUAGGGGCUGACGCCUGCCCGGUGCUGGAAGGUUAAGAGGAGUGGUUAGCUUCUGCGAAGCUACGAAUCGAAGCCCCAGUAAACGGCGGCCGUAACUAUAACGGUCCUAAGGUAGCGAAAUUCCUUGUCGGGUAAGUUCCGACCCGCACGAAAGGCGUAACGAUUUGGGCACUGUCUCAACGAGAGACUCGGUGAAAUCAUAGUACCUGUGAAGAUGCAGGUUACCCGCGACAGGACGGAAAGACCCCGUGGAGCUUUACUGUAGCCUGAUAUUGAAAUUCGGCACAGCUUGUACAGGAUAGGUAGGAGCCUUUGAAACGUGAGCGCUAGCUUACGUGGAGGCGCUGGUGGGAUACUACCCUAGCUGUGUUGGCUUUCUAACCCGCACCACUUAUCGUGGUGGGAGACAGUGUCAGGCGGGCAGUUUGACUGGGGCGGUCGCCUCCUAAAAGGUAACGGAGGCGCUCAAAGGUUCCCUCAGAAUGGUUGGAAAUCAUUCAUAGAGUGUAAAGGCAUAAGGGAGCUUGACUGCGAGACCUACAAGUCGAGCAGGGUCGAAAGACGGACUUAGUGAUCCGGUGGUUCCGCAUGGAAGGGCCAUCGCUCAACGGAUAAAAGCUACCCCGGGGAUAACAGGCUUAUCUCCCCCAAGAGUUCACAUCGACGGGGAGGUUUGGCACCUCGAUGUCGGCUCAUCGCAUCCUGGGGCUGUAGUCGGUCCCAAGGGUUGGGCUGUUCGCCCAUUAAAGCGGUACGCGAGCUGGGUUCAGAACGUCGUGAGACAGUUCGGUCCCUAUCCGUCGUGGGCGUAGGAAAUUUGAGAGGAGCUGUCCUUAGUACGAGAGGACCGGGAUGGACAUACCUCUGGUGUACCAGUUGUCGUGCCAACGGCAUAGCUGGGUAGCUAUGUGUGGACGGGAUAAGUGCUGAAAGCAUCUAAGCAUGAAGCCCCCCUCAAGAUGAGAUUUCCCAACUUCGGUUAUAAGAUCCCUCAAAGAUGAUGAGGUUAAUAGGUUCGAGGUGGAAGCAUGGUGACAUGUGGAGCUGACGAAUACUAAUCGAUCGAAGACUUAAUC